AACAUUUGAUAUGUUUUCGAUGAUUUUCGUUCAAUUUUAUUAAUUACGAUUCUCUCAGGCACAAAACACGCAAGGCGUGAUCUUGGCUCGAACUGAAGCUCCUCGAAUAUCUGAAAUAGCGCAGCAAGAAUACAAAAUAGGGGAAAAGAAUGUAUUUUUGCAAGGAUUGCAACAAUUAGAGAGGAAGACUGUCGAGUCGAAUGAAAAAGAGCAGUCGCGAACGAACAUAGUAUGAUUAACUUUUAUUAAUACUAACGACAAUUUUUUAAUAUACUGAGAUUGUUUUUAAAAGUAACUAUUUUAUAUCACACACGUAUUUUUAACGAGUCAGACGCAGUCCGAAGGGGAAUCGUCGCAGAAUAAAAGUGCCGAGAUUUCAGUCAAAUCAGCCACCAAUCCAAUUGCGUCUAAAAUAAUCAAACAGACCGCGGUACCUGUCUUCCAAAUUUCCCAAGGAAAUCUCUUGAUCGAUCCAUACUCUAUACGAGUACCAACAAACGUCGAAGGUAAAUAUCUUACACACUUUUUGCAAAAUUAAAUUUUCCGUAAUUAAGCAUAGCAGAAAUAAUCCAAUUUUUAAUAACAGACCAUAAACAAGCUCUUACACGAAUAACUUGAUCCAUGUUUUUAUAACUCAAUCGAUAAAUUAUGAUUCUCGUUAAGAUUGCACGUUUAUAGGCACCAGAAACGAAAAGUAAGAGCGAACCGAUUACUUUCUUUCCCGAUUAAAGGAUCUCGAAAUCAGAUCGAGGCGUAAGAAUAUACCGAGCAGAUAUUUUAUUCCUCGCGAAGGUCAUUCUGGUUCCGGUGCCAAUGAUCUUUCAAGAUCACUCUGUCAUCAGCCUUUAAUUACACUUCCACAUUUUUCCUUUUGUCGUUAAAGAAGAUGCGUAUCGAAGUAAAUUCUAAUCAAAACCAACUUCUUAGUAUAUUUACAUAAUAAAGAUUUACGCAUUUGAGAGGGAUUGAGAAAUUAAGUAAUCGAAGAUUUUUUCAUUUGUCACAGGUUCUUCUAACACUUUUGCGAGCGCUACUUCAAAGAUCGAUGAACAGUCUGUUGAAAAUAGCGAACAGAUUAAGACGAAAGAAUUGCCUGCAUCAAUGAAGGAGGAAGCAGAAUCAGAAAAACAAGAUAAAUCGACUGAUCUACCCAAAGACGUAAUCGCACCUCUUAACAUUCUACCUCUGAGCUCAAAUUAUCAACCCACUCCUAUCAAAUAUUCUGCUAUUCCCACUCUUCAUUACGUUGUUUACAGCAUAUAAUUCAUGCGUAUCGUAAUACGAGAUUUUAUUUUUUCUAUAUUUUGAUUGAUAUUUUCAUGUUUGAAGUAUUAAUAAAGCAUCUGAAAUAGAGAAAUAAUCGCUUGCAUCUUUUUUUAUUUAAAUUCCACAAAUUUUCAGAAUUUAUUCCUUGUAUCGAACAGACGUUAAGUCAUUGAGUUAUUCACGAGAUAUCUUUAGAUUUAUAAAGAUAUUUUUAUUCGUGGUAUGCAGGAAAAGAAUCAGUCGAGCGGUACUUGUACAUUUGUCAAUUUAUUUUUAUUCUUCUUUACAAAAUAAUGCCGGCUGCCAUAGGACAAUGAAACGUAGGAAUACACGAUGCAUAUAUAAUUCAUGUCAAUAAUUAAUAUCGAUCGAAAAUUAACUCUAACAUUCUCCAUCGUCCUCUUCGUCAUCCGCCAUCGUCGGUUUCCCCAUAGAAAAUAUGUAUCACGCUUAUAAAAAACAGCUGAAUCGUUGAAAUACAAUUUAAAUCAUUAUUAUCAUCCCUUCGUUCGUCAUUGUGAAGAAACUUAAUCUAACUUAGUAAAGGCCUUCGUUAAUCAACAAUACAUCAUCGUUAUACUUUGUCUUCGUCGCGCGAAAAACUUACGAUAAAGAAAACCUAUGUAUGUACAUAUAUCGAUUGAAAGUGGUGAAUAAAAAUGAAAAUUAUCUGAUUGAUCUAUGAAAAGAAGGAAAAAGUAUAAUUCUUUCUUAGACAACUAUAAAUAUUUUUGUUCGCUUAAUUAUCAUAUAAUGUAUACAGUCUACUUUGCAGCUUCUUGUUGGCUGUAAAUUGUUUAUCAAUUAUUUCGGAGAGAAGUGGCAUACAAAAUAAUGGGAAAACGAUGAGAAUUUCAUUAAGAAAUAAAGUCUUUAACGGCCACCGUAAAGAACGUUGGAAUGGAAAGAUGCUGGAAUUAUUCGAGAAGUACAGAACAACCCUUUUCAAUUUUCUUGUGCACGAUAGUUUGAAUUUUCAAUCGAUUAAUCCUCCGCAACAUCUCUUUGCAAUUAGCCAAUUCUAAUUUCAUUUUUAUUUCAUUCAUUGUACUCGCAUCUGAGCUGGUGAUUACUUUUGUGUCUUUUAUUAUCCCCUGAAUACUAACUUCGAUUAAUACUGAAAAAAAACGCCGUCCAAAUACGAUCGAUAGAUCUCGUCCUCUUCUAAUAACCUCGACUCUAUGCAAAAUCUUAAUCACUAUUAACCAUUAAAUAUAAUUGAUGAUUAACCCGACAAUAAUUAGAGGCGUAAGAUCAGACGUCGACGUCGGUAAUAACGAGGGCUAAAUUUCCCAUUGCUAUAAUCCAUAUACUAUAAUCUCGUUUAAAAAUUGUAAUAAUUCAUAUAUUCAACGGAAAUAUUUGCUUUAUCGCUAAUAAUCGGUAAUGGUAAUGAAUUAUUAAUAAUAGUAAUAAAAUGACGCAAAUGUCCCCUGUGUCACUCGUUUCUUUUUUUUUUUUUUUUUUUCAUACCCCGCCGUUGCCACAAUCGCAAUAUACGUCAACACAUCCCCCUAUACAUAUAAUAUAAAUCUAAAUAUUAAUAUAUAUAUAUUUUUUAUAAUAUUCAUAUUUAUAUAUAUAACAUAUUCGUCCUAAAACUGCGCGUUGUUCACGCGCGAUUAAAUCUGAUUAGCAAUGUUUUUAAACACCACCUCUCUCAACCCUUCACUUUCCAUCCCUUUCUCUUUCGCUACUGUUUCUCCUUUAUCAUUUUCAAUUCUAUGGAACCUGAACUUCUCCUUUUGGUAAAUAAAGGAAUUUUAUUUCCUCCUUAUUCCGAUUAGAAGAUAUAAAUAAUUUAACAAAGCCAGGAAAAAUAAUUUCAAUCUUGAUAUGUAGUAUUCAGUUAAUGGGCUUUUGGUAGCUUUGUUAAAUUAUUGAUCAAGUAGCUUGUAUAUCUUUAUCUAUAUCGAUAGUCUUAUUAAAUACUCUUCUGAAAAAAUACCGACCAAUUUUCUCAAACGAAGACAACAAGAAUUUUCCUGUAUGAAUAAUUACGUACGUUUUUGUUUAUAGAUGGAUACAGAUGAAUUCCAAAAUCUCUUCUACAAAAACCAUUGCAGGAAAUUCUACGUGAAAUUUAUAAGAAACUGUAAUAACAAAUGUUAUUCUUAGAAAAACUUCUAUUUUUUAUUAUCAUAGAGAAUUGUAAAUUUUAAUAUCGAAUAACUUUGUUUUAUCAAUUAUAUCUCUCUUUCUUAUUACGUACCGAAUAAUUGUUGACGUUCCAUAGAACUCAAAUAUCCGUACAAUUUUUCCAUCUUCCAUUUUUGUAGAGGGUGGAAAGUGAACGAAUUUGGAGAAUGAAAGAAAUACUGCUGGAUCGAGGAGUAUUUUACUCAAUGUCCUCCCCUCUAUUGCCGCACAGCUCUAGAUUUUUCAACUAAUUUCACAACGUACUCGACAGUUUGAUAUAUCGAUGCUUCGACAACUUCUCCCCAUCUUUUCUUCUUCUUUCUUUUUUUUUUUUUUUAUUCGAAUUCGAACUUUUCACUGUGAGUUAACCCUAUCGCUUUCUCCCUCCUACAACCUUCGACCUCUCUCUUUUCUGUUUUAGUAACGUGGGCGGUAUUAUCUUGAAACGUCAACGAAAGAAUUCACACUGAGCUAUUUUUCGUCCGAUUCGUAUAACAGCUUUCUUUUUUCCCAUUUUUUCCUCUUUUUUAUUUUCGAUGAUUGGAAGUUAUAAUAAUUCGAUCGAUUUCGCUUGGGCCAUGAAUCUUUAGUUAUUUUAGAAAAAUUUUGUGGAAUCACACAGCGCUUUAAGAGAUGGAAGAAAAGAUUCGAAAAUUACGAAGAUAUUGUUGUUGACAGCCAAUGUUACUGAAAUUUUUUUUUUUUUUUUUUUUUUUUUAGAUUUGAAGAAUCCAAUCUUUCAUAUUUUAGUUAUUCAGCCCAGGACGAAAAAUGGCUCGACGAAUAUUUUUAUACGGCUCCCCUCUUCGAUCUUUAAUUACAGGCUAAUAAUUCGCGAAACUACGUCGAUUUACCUUAGCGGCGAUAAAACAUUAUACAACGUUUCUUAAUAAUCUUUUUUCUUUUUUUCUUUUAUCCUCGUAUAAUAUAUGUUACUGUGUAUCGUGUAUGUGUAUGUGCGUAUGUCGGUGUGUGCACGAGUAUAUCGAAUAAAAAUUGCAUAGUUUACGACAGCUUCCUUCUUCCUUUAUCUUUGACCCUCGGAAUUAUUAUUUAAACGAUGUUACAUAGCCAAUAAUUACCUAUGUGUAAAUUUAAUACGACGAUUUUCGAGCCAUCGAAAUAAAACUCAAUGUCACUUAGAAGUAAGAAAUAGAAAAUAGAAAAUGUGUUUAAAUGCACUUAUAUUACAAUGUUUGUCAACUGAUUGUCGAUAUUGUAAAAUUUCUAACGAUAUUAGUACGGUACGCUACAAUUUUGUAAAUUUAUAAUAUUAGCAAAUAAUUGUUCAUCUGAAAUUUAGUAAUUCUACCAUAUUAUAAUAUCAUGUAGUAAUUACACUAUAAUAAUAAUACGGUAAUUAUGCUACAUCAGUACAUUAUAUUAGUAUGCUAUAACGUAGCAUAUAGUUAAUAAUAAUUCCAAGUAUCAAACAGUUUUGCUCGUCGAAGUACGAUUAUGUAUUUUUUCGAAGGGAUACAUCGUUUUUCUUGGAGCACGUUCAGCAUUGACUCUCGUAGCGUCGUUAAUCGUAUAUCUAUACAAUACUGUUUACGAGUAUCGAAUAAUCUUAAGAUCGAGACUAAUUACCAUCAGCGACGAGUUGUCCAACGUUAAACGAUAGAAUUACGAACAAUUGACUUUUUGUCGUCCCUAUAUUAUAUUAUAGUGUUCAGACGCACGUCUCGAAGAGACGAAUUCUCGAUAUUAUAGAAAUAGAAGGAUGCAUUCUUUCUUUCUUCGUCCAUCAUUCACGCUGCAGCUUCAUUUUCUCGGAAAGAUACGAGUCUUUAUCGAGAUUUCUUAAAAGUGUGCUUUUUCUCUUUUGUUGCUUCGUUCUCUGUAUACUCGAGUUUUCGAAAAUUUUCUACGAGAAAAAUGGGACAUCUUUUUUUAAAGAAUUUUUCACGGUAUAUAUAAUUAGAUUAUAGAUUGAGAAAGUUAAGCGUAUUUGGGAUUUCCGGUGCAACGAUGCACAAACUCGUCCAAUGUUAUUUUCUCAACUGGAUUUUGAGAAAUAUUACGAUAAAAAAAUAUUAUUAUCGUUUCUAGAGAAAAAUACUAAUUCCCAAAUAUAUUUUCGUGCAGAUGAAAUUAAAUUAGAUUAGAAAUUUUAUUUGACGAAGAUACCAUAAAAACGUUGCGAUUUUAGUAAUUUCAUGUUUCUAUUAAAAGGAGUUUAUACAUCGUUACUUGAAAGAAAAUCGAUAGAACACCACACACAGAGAACAGGUAUAUUCGGAGAGAAAAACGUCGACAUUAUUCCAAUUUCACGAUUAACAAAUUGUUUUUCAUAAUUGUACAACCACGUUUUACUGUCGAUACUCCAACAAUGCAUUGUCAAAUUUCGACCAGAAUUCUUCAAGUUUAUACUUGUCUAAUUUCAGUAAGAUUGGGGUAAUGCAAGUUCUAUAGUGCGAUAAUCAGUUAAUUAAUCCUAAAUCAUGAUAAUUUUCAAGUUAAUAAACAAAUAACAAAUUAUUAUGAAUUAUCGCUAAAACUGUAAUACCUCUUAAUCGUACCUUUUAAUAACAGGUAAUCUGAGAUAAAAAAAAGACACAUUAUUCUAAGACAAAUACUUGUAUCUUUAGAAAUAAGAAAAUUCAAGGGAAAUAAAUUUUCCGACAUGCUAACUUGACAAAAUUGAGUCAGAUUAAUUAAUUAUCGCACGCUAUAUCUACGAAUACUUUACAAUUAAUUAUCGUAACACUAUCAAUACGCUUUUACAAGGAAUUAUCGUCGAAUAUUAAACAUUAUCUAUAAUUAGUACUAUCAUUAUUAUCAUAGUUAUCGAUUAAACGUUAACGAUACUAAUAUUUUCUUAACGAUAUUUCUCGAUUUUACUAGAAUUUUCAUUUUUACCUUUUCUAUUCUACAGAAUCGAGUUUCACUUUUGCAAACGCUCUCAAAAUUUCGGAAAUUUCUUUCGACAACACGCUCCUCUUAUCACAGAUAAGAUUUAUGAUAGCUCACGUCGCGUUUGCAACCGAUCGAUCGAAAUUUGCCAAUGCACUAUUCCCUCGAUCGGAUCGAAGCUUAUCGGAGAAAAGAAUCGAUCAGGACCCCAUUUUUUGAUGCGGAAAAUCAGAACGAUUUCCUUCCCGUUUUUUUUUUUUCAUCGAAUUGUUUAUAACAAAAUUCGUGAUAUCAAUAAAUCGAUCUACUUUCAAGUUUGAUUUAAUGCAGGACAAUGUUGCGAUUGAAUCGUGUCGAGAAAUUGUAAGAAAGACACUUUAUAAUUGAUGUUCUUAGGCCUUGUUCAAAUCCUCACAUUUUUCCAUAUUUUACGAAAUUAGAAAAAUGAAAAGUUCCAAUUUUGUCAGAAAUUAUAGCUUAAUUUGAUUUUUCGAUUUGUUCUGUUUUUAUUCUCCAAUCAAACACAUUGUUGAAAUUUUUGUAUUGUCAAUACAAGGCGAAUAAUAAUGGACAAAUAAUUUCUUAUACUUAAUAUUCCUUUCUUAGAGUAAAUUUUUCAAUAAUUCUAACGAAAUUGUUUGAAACAGAACAAUUGGAUUUCGUAAAAUACAAUUUGAACCUGUUUGUCCGUGUUUGUACAUGUGUUUGACAGAUUUGGCAUAAUGGUGUACGGAGGACAGCAUCAUGCAAAAGAUUUCUUAUUGAGAAAUUAUAGUCAUCGUCGAUUCGUAAUUUCAUCACGUAACAUCGUUCACGUAAUUUUUCAAUACUCUUAAACUAAUUACCGUCCCAUUCUACCCAACACUAAAUACUACCAUAUACUUCACGUUCCAUAUUACAAACUUUAAAACAAUAAUAUCCACCAAAAACCUCUGAUUAACAAACAUUUUGUCCAAGUCUAGUUUCUUUCGUUUCGCUUUCUUUUACGUACUGAACAAUAUAUAUUACAUUGAAAACAUAAUAUUUGUUAUUGACGAAAUUUUCAAUUCUGACGUUUCGAUUGAAUCUUUCGAACGUGCAUAACAUCGACCAUAUGCAUUUUGAUAAUUCGUUUUUUAUCGGAACGAUGGAAAGUGCGAUAACGAAUCAGCAAUGACACGGGCGAUAAAAAUGCCCCAGUGAACGUUCACGUGCUGAGAAGAUCGAAGCUUCGAGUGAGAGUAGCAGCAAAGUAAAAAUAGGGGAAUUUCUGCAAAAUGGAACCUUCCUUCAAAAAACUGAAUCUUCCAAUUUCAAAAUUACGCAUAUCGUGCAAUUUUCCUAGAAAAUAAGGUGAACAAUUUCUUUUUCUUCUUUUUCGAAGGUCGAGCUUCCCUUUUGCUGUAAUAAUUGUGAAAAAUGACAACAGUAGUAGCGAUAGUAGGCCGUUCGUGAGUUGACGAAGAGGAGGAAGACGACGAUAGGCAGUAGAGUAGUGAAAUGGUCGAUGAUCGGUUUUCGAGCUGGAAGAAAAGUUAGUGGAAACAGAAAAGGCGCGAACAACACACCGUUCAGACAAGUGAAAAGAAAAGCGAAGAAUCGUAAGAGCAACUUUAAUUUCGCGAUUUGUCCAUCUUUUCUAAUCUUUCGAUAUCGAUAAUUAAACGUUUGAAAAUUUGUCAAACUAAUAAACAUUAUAAUAAAGAUUAGCAUUAUAAAAAUAUCCAAAGAAAAAGUACUUGAUAUAUUAAAUUAAUAUAAAAAUUAUACUAAUAUGAAAUUAAUUAUACGAAUUUUAUUAAUUAAAAUUAAUAUAAAAUUUGAUAUUCGGCUUGAAUUUUUCUUAUAAUAUUUGAUUUUCAUAUACUAAAAGAAUAUUUCGAUAAAACGAUGAAGUGGUCCAUGACGUGGUUUCCCUUCUCUCUCUUCAUUCAAAUCUCUUCCUUUUUCUUUUCGUGACAGAGUUCAUGCUGCAGAUGAAAACUUUCAGAAGAUAGAAAAAGGAAAUGGUAGAUGUAUAUACAUCGAGUAAUUACAGUGUACAUACUACUACACAUGUAUAUAGAACAUAUAGUAUAUAGAUAUAGAGCUACAUAUAGAAUACCAUAUCGCGAAGCUUGAAAUUAUAAAGUGCUAUUAAGUGGAAAAUUUCUUGUAUACUAUAUCUGUGUUUCCUUUUUCCUCUGAUUUUUCAUUUAAGAAAAAAGCUUCAGAGUCUCAUAAGAAUUCAAGACCAGCAAAUUACGACUGAUAUUUUCGUUCGGAAAAACGAGUAUGGCCCUCGUGCUGCUCGAUUCUCAGAAAAAAGGAUUUUAUGGGAUGGAUUUUAGAGAAAUUCUAUUGAACAGAGAAUCGAGCAACGCUUGAUUGGAUUUGGAAAACGACGAGUUUCGUCUGUUUGAAGGCAGAACUCGCAGAAUCGUUAUUGUUUCUUUUUUCUCUUUUUUCGUUUGUUGUUUGCGCUGCAUUUUGGAUUUGUUUAAUUGAAUUUCGGUGGAAUUUAAUAUGUCUCGUGAUGGAUGGUCUGCGAUUGUUAAAUUGAAACUUUUCAACGGAAUAGAAAUGUUUCUUCUGUUUCAUUUUCUGAAAAAGAAUAUGGGUAUGUGUGUUUUUUGGAUCCGACAAAUUAAAUUGAAUUUUCAUCUUUUGAAAAUUAAAUUUUCAGUCACAUGGAUGUAAAACUGGAGUUUAAGAAAGUUGACUUAAUUUGUAGAAUUCUUUAGGCUACUUUUUGAACCUUAUAUAUUACGUAAUUUAGAUUUCCUAUGAUAAUUUAGAAUUCUACGAACUUGUUUAUACCAUUUAUAACAAAUAUCUUACUUCGCUACAUAGCUGAAUUAUAUUUUAGCUUCGAAUAGACCAUUAAAAUUUUCUAGAUUAUUGUAAAUAUUCGAAUCAUCGAACGAUCAAAAUUUUUAAACAAUUUACCCGACAUUGAUUUCAAAGGCAGACAGAAAAGAUAGAGACAGAACAGCGUGUCAAGGUUUUAGAAGAAAGACUACUUUGUUAGAAAGAAACAUCGAAUAACAGGCAAAAUAAAAUAUUGAAAUUCAAAGAAAAAAUGCUGACACGUCGUCUCGGUGCCAUCUUUUCCUUUCGUUCCAUUGGAAUGUCACGAAUGAUCGACAAUUGAUUAUCGAUCAUUUGUGAUGUUCGAUCUAAAAAAAAAAAAAAGUGAAAUAGAAUUAGCGUGGAUAAUUAGUGAAGUGAAAAGUGAUCGAACGCGUAAGAAGUUUCUCGUAAAAUGGUCUCUAUAUCGAAAAGAAUUUUUAUUAUCACAGUUUGAGUAAGUAAAUGAUAUUUCCUUCAAAUUGUCAAUAAUUGCCAAUAAUUCUACUAAUUAUCGACACUAAAUUUUGGAAACAAUGUCAUAGGAAAAGCAUCCCCUCGUUUGUGAUAUAACCUUACUAUUUAAAUAUCUUUUAUAUUUCUACCUUUUUGAAAGAAAAAUCUGAGAGCCACUUCAUAGAAGCUUCUUACGCCUCGACUUAAAGAUUAAAAUAUAGUUUUAAAUAGAAACAAAGGAGAAGGGGUAGGUAGUAGCUGGAUACACAGAAAGAACACAAAAAACGGACAGGUUUAUUUAUCUUUUCCAUUCAUUGUUGCUUUUUUUUUCUCUUGACAAAUCGGCUAUAUUUUGUAUAUGUAAAUUACCCGCUCGCUAGCAAUCAUAUUCCCUCAUCUGUGCUUGCUUUAUCUUUAUCGCGUUUAAACCUCUAUCCCUUUUCAUUAUAAACUUUCCUUCCCUUAAAUUCGACUCACUCGAUUGCUCGUUUCAUUUCCUUUUCUUUUUCUUUUUCUUUAUCUUUUUCCAAGACGAGAAAACCGUGAUUGGAUGGUGGGAUGGGGCAUGAAGAUUAGAGAAAAAAGAACUGAAACUCGCGUGUUACAAACGAGAACGGCGUGGAGAAUCAAAAGUACGAAAUUAUAAUUCGUAUAAUAUAAAAAUUAAAAUUUUCUUUAAUAUUUAUAUUAUAUCGAUAGGGAUAGCGAGAAAGGAGAAAAACUAAAAGUUGUGAUUUUUCUUUAGAUUACAAUCGAUCAUCGCGAGUAUAGUAAGAAAGAAAAGCAAAACGAACAAACAAUGGAACACCGAAGUGGUCGUGAAAGAACCACCCCUUUGCCUUCUUCUCGUCGACUAUUCACACCCUUUGCGCCCCUCCAUUCGAUUAUCGCUUUUUAUAUUUCGAUACAAAAGUUGCCAGGGGUUUACAGAGAAGUAUUCUUCGGAGGAAUACUAGAUUGAGGCCGGUGCGGAGUGGAACUGAAUUUAGGGGUUGCAAAGGGUGAAAGAAUUGCAUUAUAUUUUAUGUGGAAAUUAUUUUUGCGGACUUCGAGGACAAUGGUUUUCAAAUUUUGCCAUUUUUAUGGGACCUGCGUCCUUGAAGCGGCUUCUUAAUUAGUAUCGACUGAAAAUUCAUUUUAAAGAACAUCGACAGUGUUGAUUUCGAGGUUGUCGAUAAUUUGUCAAAAAAUCUUGCGAAACUCGCAUUCUCGAAGUGGCGGAAGUUUCGUUUUGCUUAUUCUUUAAUCAGAUUCAACGGAAACUUAAUUUUAAUUUAAUCAAGUUUCAAUUGUUAAAAAUUGAUAGAAAAAAUACUUCGGGGGCAUUGGUUUGCAAAUUUUUGAGUCCUCGAAGUAUUGAAAAUUUCGUCGACGGAAAUUUAGGGGUGGUAACCAUUAGGGGCGAAGAUAAUAGAGCGCUACUAGUAGUAAUAGUAGAUGGAUAGAUAAGUGGAUAGCAAGAUAAAUAGUAUAGUAGUAAUAAUAGUUGUAGUGAUAGUUAUAGUAAUAGUGAUAGUAAUAGUAAUAGUCGAAACGAUAAAUACAGUUGUAAUAGUAGUAGUGGUAGUAGUAGUAGUAGUAGUAGUAGCAGUAGUAGUAGUAGAUUGAUGUAGCAGUAUAGUUAAAGUAGUAGUAAUAAUAGUAAUAGUAAUAGUCAUAGACGAUAGAUGCGACGGUAGUACGCAGUAGUAUUCGACGCGAUAGUUAUAGAUAUAGGAGUAACAGUAGUAGCAGCAAUAGUGAUAGUAUAGUAAUUAUAGCGUUAGUAAUAGUUAUAGACGAUAGAUAGAUACAGCGAUGAUAUUGGUAGUAAUAGUUAUUAGUCACAGAUAAUUGCAGCAACAGUAGUAGCGAUAGCGAUAGAUACAAUAGGUGUAGUGUUAGUAAUAGUUAUAAGUGAUAGAUGCAGUGACAGUAAUAGUCGCGAACGAUAGAUACAGUGGUAGUAAUAGAUAGAUAUAGUAUUAGUACUGAUAGGUGUAGUAAUAGUAAUAGUCACAGACGAUAGUUAAUAGUAGUAACAGCAAUAGUGAUAGUAGUAGUAGUAGUUAUAGUGUUAGUAAUAGUAAUAGUCGUGGAUGACAGACAUAGCAGUAGCAGUACCAGUACCAGUAAUAGUCAUAAGAGUAGUAGUACAGUACACAAUAGUAAUAGUAAUAGUAAUAGUAAUAGUAAUAGUAAUAGUAAUAGUAAUAGUAAUAGUAAUAGUAAUAGUAAUAGUAAUAGUAAUAGUAAUAGUAAUAGUAUAGACGAUAUAGUAAGAGUAAUAAUGAUAAGAGUAAGAAGUACAGUAUAAAGGUAUACGAUAUACGUAUUAAGAUAGUGAGAGAGAGAGGAGAACACAGAAAAAUGAGAAAGUCAGAAAAAGAGAGUAUAGUGUGACUACUAGAAAAGUUACAAGCCAGACAGUAAGAAACAACGAACAAAUAAAUCAGAAGUAGAAGAAGAAGGAGGAGGA